ensembl:ncRNA ZK402.6 ncRNA
GCCGCACGAUGAGUAGCCUCGGAU